ensembl:rRNA 5S_rRNA 5S ribosomal RNA
GCCAGCAGCUAUAUCACCCUGCAACUCACAACUGGCAACCCACUGAAGCUAAGCAGGUGUGAGCCUGGUCAGUACCUGGAUGGGAGACCUCCUGAGAAAAACUAAGGUUGCUUCUGGAA